CUGAUAACAUCUUUUGAAACCGAAACCCUUUAUAGAUCCCGAUGUCCAAAAAGCCACCAGUUCUGUAUGAGCGUGAUCAUGUUUUAAUACAUGGUGGACCCUCCAUACAGUUAUCCCACUUAAACAAUAUUUUUUUUCAGAACAACUAGGAAUGAAAUAGGAGAAACAAAAUGAAUUACUAUUGUUCCAAAGUGCUUUGUUUAAUACAGGUCUAAUACAGGGGCAGCAAACUAUAGAAAAGUUGUCUUGCUGUGUUAAGGUUGCAAGUGGCCUCUGAUAAGGAAGGGACAGCAAACUAUAGACAUAUGUUAUAUUAAGUUGCCCUCACUUGUCAGGUCUUGGAAACCCACUUAUUUUAUUGCAGAUGCCUCUGAUACCAUGGUACAAAUUGACUAAGCAUACUUAUUAUUAUCCUAUUUUAUUUUAGUUAUUUCACAUUGCGCAGCCUAUGCAAACAAUGUCUAGGUCCCAACUUCAGCUUGUACAUCCUCUAAGAGCCAGCAUAAAUACUGUUUUAUCACUCAAAACUAUAUACAAAGUAUUAAAAACAUGAACCAUCUGUGUAUUAGGCUGGGGUUGUUGGCUGUGGGUAUAGGUUGGAAGCUGUGGUUGGUAUUGAGGAACCUGCCAGGGUGGGUCCUUGAAAGCCACCUGGGCCAGGUUCUCCCUUAGCACCGGGUUCUCCUUUGUUUCCUUGAGCACCAGGUUCACCAUUGUUACCCUUAGGUCCAGGGGAACCUCCGGGGCCUUGAGGUCCAGGAGCACCACAGGCACCAGGGAAGCCAGGGGCACCAGCAAUACCAGUGGGGCCAGCUUGAUCGGGAGAACCGGGUUCACCACGAGCACCUUGGGGUGAAUCCCUGCUAUCCAUAAUUAAAACAGUGCUGAAGUUACCACCUCUACAAAAGUUAGACCCUUUGAUAAAAUCCUCUACCUCUGCCUCUAAAACUUUUCUGAUUCAAUCUCCUAUCACCUCCCAAAUGUCCUUGUCUCGCCUGCUUAAUAUCACAAUCCUUUGUGACCGAUACAACAUACUUUUCCUUCUUUCUUUAUAUCAAAACAACCUGCUGUAUCAUUCUCAUGAAUCUUCCCAAGAAAUUCAGUUGGGGUCAAAGAGGGCCAGUCACAGACCAACAGUUUAACCAAAAGUGAACAAGGAGGAAGCAUAUUCCAUAUGCAGGUCGAGAUUACCUAACUUACACCCUCACACCCUGUUUACAUUUUUAAAGGGGAUUUUCACUGCAUAGUGUCUUUGAUAAACAUGAUUUUUUUUAAGUCUUAGCUAGACUUCUAUUACUCCUUGGGUUGGAGGAAAGCCUUUGGCAGGCAGUAUUGUGCACAAUUGUCUAUGGUAGACAAUUCCUCUUUGGUAGAGGUUCACCUUUGGCAGGUGGUAAAAAGAUUUUCGAGCCUUUGGCAGGCUGUCAUGUCAUGUCAUAUAAUGUAAUGUACAUGUACAUGUGGGUUUUGCAGACUAAAAUGGUUUAGAAAAAAAAAGGGUUAAAAGGGAAUAUUGUUUAAACCCUGUAUGAUGGAUGUUUGGCAAUACUCCAGCUUGCUAAUGUAUGUGCUAUUUUAUGAUAUGCAACGCUGAUUUUAAGCUUAAAGUCUUAAUUGAGGGAAUGUCAAAAGUACAUGUAAAGGUGAUGAUGAAUAAGAGAAACAAAAUAGAGGUUAUUUAAGGGGGGCUACAAAUUCUAGAACUAACAUGAUUUCUCUGCAUGUAUGUUUGUUUGCAUAAUGAGCCCUUUAUUUUUAUACUUGGACAAAAGUACUAUAAGCCCACUACACUUUUUCAUGAGAGUGGGAUGUAUGAUUGUUUAUAUGAUGAGCCCUUUAUUUUCAUAUUGGGACAAAAAGUCACUUCAUUCAAAAUGGCAAACAGUGCACCACAUUCUUUCUGCCCUGUGUGUUUGUUGCAGAGAAUUUAUGUUGUAAAUUUAGAUGAUUAUAAAUUAGAGAGCAAAAUUUAUAUUUUCAGUGGUCCAACACAUACUUCAUUUUGUGCUGAAAGCUAACUUGUAGUAAUCCAGUACGUCACAUGUUGUAUGUGCUUUAAAUUGUAUGUAUUCUGUAAAUUGUUGUAUGGGGAUGCUGAGAUUUUACUGAUUGUGACCCAAACUGUGCAGAAGUGGGUUUGAAAUUUUGGUCAUGGAAUGUAGGAUCAGAAAACCAUGGACAAAGGUUUUUACCUGUGUUGUUAUGACUUUUGGGAACUCAAAUUGACCGGUCAAAAUUUUGCCAUGCCUUUAACAUGGAGUAGUAUAAAUAUUUUGAGUCUUUGAGAGUUCUGACAAAUGCAGGUGAUACCAUGUCUGUGUAAAUAGAGAAAUUCGAUUGACAGGGUACAUAUGUUGCAACUGGUUAAUGCAAGUGUUAUACAAAUGUUUAAGUCAAACGCGUUAUAUGGCAGUACGGGAUCCCUUCUUUAUAAAGAAAAAACAAACUUUAUAAAGAAAAAACAAACCCUUUGGUACCAGAACUUUUAAAUAAAUCUGAUACAAACUAAAAUUGGUAUACCUUACAAUAAUAUGUUCUGAAUACAGCUGUUAAAAGUUUAUUCUGUGUAAAUGGUGAUUGUGAUAAAUGUGUGUUUUGGUUACUCAUUUUGAAGUAUGUUUAAUUGUCAUGUAUAUUAAUGGGUAUUUUGCUGUGUUAUUUUAAAUUAUAUUUGAAUAAGUUUGUCUCAGUAUUGAUACAGAUGGAAAUGGCAGCGUAAUAAUAUAUUAAAUAACUGAUUUAUUAUUGAAUACUAGUCCAAGAGCAAUAUGAGUUGUAAUCUUAACAAAAAAAAAAAAAAAAGAGGGGGUGGGGGGGGCUGUUUUUGUACGUUUUAACUGAUUUCCAAAAUUCUGUUGCAAUAAUGGACUUCCAGCCAGAAUUUGACUUUCCUGUCCAGUUGCCAGUUCUAUGAUCUAAUCUUAAAGCAAUACUGCUUGCAUAGUUUGCAGACCUGCAUAAUGCACAAACAUGGGAACCUACAUUAUGUCUGUGUUUCUUUUGAGGGACACCGAGUGUGACAUUUAUUAAUUUAUUUUGGAUUGAGUUAAUUGCCUGUCCAUGAAUAUGCUUUUUGUAUUGGCAUGUCUGCUGGAUAUCUGCUACAUUCGCUGUGUUCUGUGUUAUAAGAUGACAUGUGGGAUAUUACAAUGAGUAUGAAGAAUAUUUAAAGAAUAUUUGCAUGUCAUUAAUGCAAGCCUUUAGUGUCUUUUUACAACAGAUUAAAAAACGCUGAUCAGCCGACAAGGAAGGGGCCCCUGGGAAAGAAAAGAAAAAAAAAGAAAUCUUCUGCUUUUCAAAAUCGUGGAUCCACGUUUCCAAUUUUAAAUGGCUCUCUCUCUCUCUCUCUCUCCGUACUAUUAGGGGAGUAUUAAGAGUUAACUCUACUUUUAAAGUGCAUUGCAUUAUUUAAGUCAAAGAAAAUAAAAAAAUUGUUAUCUUUAACAAAAACAAUUGUUAUAUUAUAUUGUUAUUAUUAUGUAC
rnacentral:lncRNA from 1 species